CCUACGGGAGGCAGCAGUGGGGGAUAUUGCACAAUGGGGGGAACCCUGAUGCAGCGACGCCGCGUGGGUGAAGGAGCGUUUCGGAGCGUAAAGCCCUAUCGGCAGGGAAGAAGGAGGACGGUACCUGACUAAGAAGCCCCGGCUAACUACGUGCCAGCAGCCGCGGUAAUACGGAAGGUCCGAGCGUUAUUCGGAUUUAUUGGGGUUAAAGGGAGCGUAGGCCGGUCUGUAAGAGUGCUGGGAAAGUUUGGGGCCCAACCAGGGGAGUGCUGCGCGUACUGGAGACCUUGAGUGCGCGGGAGGUAAGCGGAAUUCGUGGUGUAGCGGUGAAAUGCGUAGAUAUCAGGAAGAACACCGAUGGCGAAGGCAGCCUGCCGCAUCUAUACUGACGCUGAGGCUCGAAAGCGCGGGUAUCGAACAGGAUUAGAUACCCCGGUAGUC
rnacentral:rRNA from 1 species